CACGUAAAAAAUCAAUUGAUAAUUUUGUCCACAAAUGCUACGGCAAAGAGACAUAUGUAAAGACAUAUAAGCAUACAAGUAUGCUUGUACCAAGUGCAAGGUAUUGGGAGAAGGCCAAUGAAGAGCCAAUUAAUCCUCCAUUGAUAAGAAAGAUGCCCAGAAGGCCAAGGAAGGUGCGAAGGAGAGCACCUAGUGAACCAA
rnacentral:lncRNA from 1 species